GCCUGUGCUACUUCCAUUCUUUUUUUUUACCCUUUCCUAUCCUGCAUACGUGACAGCCUUCUUAUCAGGCUCCUAAGGUCUAGAUUCUACAUUGCUUCCUGAUCAACGUUGGUUCGUUAGUUUAUCAUUUUGUUGUUGCUUCUCUUGAGCUUCCUACAGUAUACUCAACCAGUCCUAGGAUAUCCGGUGCUCCCUGGAUACUUGCAUGGUUCUCGUAGAAUCCAUGAUGGAUACAUAUCUGAAAUCAGUUACAUGUGAGAUAUUCAGAUGCUCAUCAAAUGCUUUUGCCGCAGUUUGUGAAUUGGUAGAGUUCGAUUCUUCCGGCAACGAGUUUAACAUCACUAUGAUAGUGUUAGAAAAGGCAGGUUUUUGUUAUUUUUCGAGAACAGAAGUCAUUAUUUCUGAAGUCAUUAAGCUAAUUUGAGAGUUUGGUCAAAAACAUGCAUGCUGAAAGACCUUAACAAAUAAUAUCUUUUAAUAUUUUUAAUAAUAAUAUAUUUGUACAAUAUUUGAAUAUACUAGUUGAAAUUAUUCCUUUUUUCAACAUAUUCCAUCAUCUUUCUCUUCCUGUUUCUGAAUUAGAUGCUUGGAUAUGUGUCUGAAUCCAAUUCUCAUAUUCAUGUCACUAGUUUUUGGUAUCUGCUACAUCCAUCGUAUAAAUGUGUUUUCUUAUUGAGUAAUGGUAUUGUUAAAAAUGUCGAAAUCUACUGUUCUAAAGCAUAUCACAAUGGUCUUGUUGAUAUAUAAACCUAGUGUUCUAAGCGAUAUGCACCUUCUCUUAUGGUUUUAUGCAUUAUUCUUUGACAAAGCUGCCUAGGCUACCAGAUAGUCCCACUUUAGGUGAUUUGGCAGCCCAACUACAUUGGCACAUGCUGUUUUCAUAAACUUCAGGCAGGGCAGCUUCCCAAGUGCCUAGAUUGGGAUUGAAGCGGACAAUUAUGCACAAAGGCUGCUUGGUAUUCAAGUUAUUGCUUUGUCUAUGGCUCACCACCUAAAGGCAGCUGUACCAAAAUUUGUUCUUUCAAUUUUCAAAUAUUGGUAAAGAGACCUUCCCUUUGCCACCUCUUGAUUUUCUCCAUAUGAUGUUUGAGAUAGAGAUGCAAGAAAAGUACAUAAAAGAAAAUGUUUACUAUUUUUCCACACCUACUUGGUUAAUAGGAUUGCAGCCAUCUAUUACACACUCAGUCUCCUUUUCCUCCUCAAAAUGCGGAAGAUAUUGCUGUGGAAUUUAAAAGUAAAUUGGUAUACUAGACUAUCUGUCAAAGUCUAAUGAGUUUUGCAAUCUUAGCUUCAUGCAUCUGCCUUGCCAC
rnacentral:lncRNA from 1 species